AAUCAACGCUGGCGGCGCGCUUAACACAUGCAAGUCGAACGAGAAAGGGCUCAAUCCUGAGUAUAGUGGCGUACGGGAGAGUAACACGUGGCAAUCUACCUCUUGGCGGGGAAUAACCCUGGGAAACCGGGGCUAAUACCGCUUAAGCACGGGAGCGGAAACCAGCGAUGCACCGGGAGAGGAUCCCGCCGCCGGUUAGCUGGUUGGUAGGGUAAUGGCUCGCUAGGGCGGAGGUGGGUAGCCGGGCUGUGAGGGCACACGGCCACACUGGCACUGAGACACAGGCCAGAAUCCUACGGAAGGGAGCAGUGGGGAAUCUAGCACAAGGGGGGAAACCCUGAUGCAGCGACGCCGCGUGAGCGAUGAAGCCCGUCGGGGUGUAAAGCUCUUUCGACAGGAACGAUAAUGACGGUACCUGGAGAAGAAGCUGCGGCUAACUACGUG
rnacentral:rRNA from 1 species